rnacentral:rRNA from 1 species
GACGAACGCUGGCGGCGUGCUUAACACAUGCAAGUCGAACGGAAAGGCCCCCUUGUGGGGUCCUCGAGUGGCGAACGGGUGAGUAACACGUGAGUAACCUACCCUUGACUUUGGGAUAACUUCAGGAAACUGGGGCUAAUACCGGAUAGGAGCUCCUGCUGCAUGGUGGGGGUUGGAAAGUUUCGGCGGUUGGGGAUGGACUCGCGGCUUAUCAGCUUGUUGGUGGGGUAGUGGCUCACCAAGGCUUUGACGGGUAGCCGGCCUGAGAGGGUGACCGGCCAAAUUGGGACGGGGAAAGGCCCCAGACUCCUACGGGAGGCAGGAGGGGGGAAUAUUGCAAAAGGGGGGGAAGCCUGAGGCAGAACCCCCGGGGGGGGGAGGGCGGCCUUGGGGUGUUAACCCGCUUUCCCCGGUGACGAAGGGGGGGGGGCGGAAAUGGGAAAAAAAGCACCGGCUAACUACGG